GGGGAAUAUUGCACAAUGGGCGCAAGCCUGAUGCAGCGACGCCGCGUGAGCGAAGAAGGUUUUCGGAUCGUAAAGCUCUGUCCUCUGGGAAGAAAAAAUGACGGUACCAGAGGAGGAAGCCCCGGCUAACUACGUGCCAGCAGCCGCGGUAAUACGUAGGGGGCUAGCGUUGUCCGGAUUUACUGGGCGUAAAGGGUGAGUAGGCGGUAAUGUGUGUCAGAUGUUUAAUCUAUGAGCUCGACCUCGGGCUUGCAGUGGGUACGGGCUGACUAGAGUGCGGUAGGGGUGACUGGAAUUCCUGGUGUAGCGGUGGAAUGCGCAGAUAUCAGGAGGAACACCGAUGGCGAAGGCAGGUCACUGGGCCGCAACUGACGCUGAGGAGCAAAAGCAUGGGGAGCGAACA
rnacentral:rRNA from 1 species